rnacentral:rRNA from 1 species
CUAUGGAGGGGGAUAACCCCGGGAAACUGGGGAUAAUACCCCAUAGGCUAUGAAUGCUGGAAUGCUUCGUAGUUGAAAGGUGAGCCGCCAUAGGAUGGGUCUGCGGCCGAUUAGGUAGUUGUUGGGGUAACGGCCCAACAAGCCUGUAAUCGGUACGGGUUGUGGGAGCAAGAGCCCGGAGAUGGAUUCUGAGACACGAAUCCAGGCCCUACGGGGCGCAGCAGGCGCGAAAACUUUACAAUGCGGGAAACCGUGAUAAGGGAACUCCGAGUGCCCGUUAAAUCGGGCUGUCCAUCAGUUUAAAAAACUGGUGAAGAAAGGGCCGGGCAAGACCGGUGCCAGCCGCCGCGGUAAUACCGGCGGCUCGAGUGGUGGCCACUAUUACUGGGCUUAAAGCGUUCGUAGCUGGUUUGUUAAGUCUCUGGGGAAAUCUUCCGGCUUAACCGGAAGGCGUCUCAGGGAUACUGGCAGACUAGGGACCGGAAGAGGUGAGGGGUACUCCAGGGGUAGGAGUGAAAUCCUGUAAUCCUUGGGGGACCACCUGUGGCGAAGGCGCCUCACCAGGACGGCUCCGACAGUGAGGGACGAAAGCUGGGGGAGCAAACCGGAUUAGAUACCCGGGUAGUCCCAGCCGUAAACGAUGUGCGUUAGGUGUAUCGGUGACCACGAGUCACCGAGGUGCCGAAGAGAAAUCGUGAAACGUACCGCCUGGGAAGUACGGUCGCAAGGCUGAAACUUAAAGGAAUUGGCGGGGGAGCACCACAACAGGUGGAGCCUGCGGUUUAAUCGGACUCAACGCCGGAAAACUCACCAGAUAAGACAGCUGAAUGAUAGUCGGGCUGAAGACUCUACUUGACUAGCUGAGAGGUGGUGCAUGG